UUCUCCUCUUUCUUAAUGCUGUUUGAGUAUGGACCUAAUCCGUAGGUCUUGAGGAGGGCAAUGUCGUCUUCGUCGAGCGGACGAGGAUUCUUCUCGUCCUUUAUUAGGUCGUCUUCUGGAGCAGCUGCCGGCGCCAUUCGAUUCAAAUCUUAAAAGCUUUCAAGACUUUAGCUUUUGAGAAACGGAUGAGAAGAGAAAUGGAUAUUGAAAUACGAAGUAUUAUUGCUUGUGUUCUUCUGAGCAGACAAAAC
rnacentral:misc_RNA from 1 species